AUUGAACGCUGGCGGCAUGCUUUACACAUGCAAGUCGAACGGCAGCGCGGGGCAACCUGGCGGCGAGUGGCGAACGGGUGAGUAAUACAUCGGAACGUACCCAGACGUGGGGGAUAACGUAGCGAAAGUUACGCUAAUACCGCAUACGUUCUACGGAAGAAAGUGGGGGACCUUCGGGCCUCAUGCUUUUGGAGCGGCCGAUGUCUGAUUAGCUAGUUGGUGAGGUAAAGGCUCACCAAGGCGACGAUCAGUAGCUGGUCUGAGAGGACGACCAGCCACACUGGGACUGAGACACGGCCCAGACUCCUACGGGAGGCAGCAGUGGGGAAUUUUGGACAAAGGGCGCAAGCCUGAUCCAGCAAUGCCGCGUGAGUGAAGAAGGCCUUCGGGUUGUAAAGCUCUUUUGUCAGGGAAGAAACGGCUGAGGAUAAUACCUUCGGCUAAUGACGGUACCUGAAGAAUAAGCACCGGCUAACUACGUG
rnacentral:rRNA from 1 species